rnacentral:rRNA from 1 species
UACGAAGGGGGCUAGCGUUGUUCGGAAUCACUGGGCGUAAAGCGCACGCAGGCGGGUCGUUAAGUCAGGGGUGAAAUCCCGAGGCUCAACCUCGGAACUGCCUUUGAUACUGGCGAUCUUUGAGUCCGGGAGAGGUGAGUGGAACUCCGAGUGUAGAGGUGAAAUUCAUAGAUAUUCGGAAGAACACCAGUGGCGAAGGCGGCUCACUGGCCCGAUACUGACGCUGAGGCACGAAAGCGUGGGGAGCAAACAGG